rnacentral:lncRNA from 1 species
ACGAAAGGGGGUGCGCGGACCGAGGGGGGCCUGGCGCGCCCCGCCGCCGUUCCGAGUUGGGGGGUUUCUGUGUUGUGGGUCCGGGAAGAAGCGAGCGUGGAAAGGUGCCGGGUUCUCGAACGCUGUUUCUGUCCACUGCCACCCUCCUCCCCGUUCUGGGAGUGGGAUUAAGUCGUGUCUGUGGGUCUGGCCAUCUCCGGAGUCUGCAGCUUGGGGCCGAUUCCUCGGUCUCUACCUCCUGUUGCAGGUCCUUAAUCAUUCAACAGAGACAUAAUAACUUUAUUGGAUGGAGCAAUACUUCUUGCUAAUCAGCAUAUACACACCCAGUGACCUUGCAUGAAGAAGCAGCCUGUCUGCAGAAGAUUGCAUCUCAUCUAUACAAAGCAGGAGUGAUGUUGUCAAUGUGUGUGUGUGCAUGCAUUUAUGUAUCUGUAUGCUUGUGCAGAGAGGGGAAGAUGGGGGAGGGGAUGUGGCUUUGUUACUUAGCUUGCUUGAUUUUUAUCCACAGUUAUUAAGAGGUAAAACAUUGUAGCUCAACCCCUAGAAGUGGUCGUUUGCUUUACAGAGAGGAAAAUCUCUGCCCCCUUACCAUGGCUUGCAUUUCCAGCCCCAAAAGGCAAAAACAGGGAGCACGUAACUCAGUGGAAUCAAUAGCACGACCAGAAAGUCAAUUCAGUCAUAUGAUGGUGGAUCAGUAUCAUCAUUGUAAAGGAGAGGAGAUCACUGUACUGUCAGAUGCAUCACUCUGACUUUCCCCCAUCACUGUGGAAAAAGGAGGGAAAAAAGCCUUCAAUCAUAAUAGGAAAGGUAAACAGUUUUUCAAACUUACAAACAUAUGUACAUGUCUUCCUCUGUAUCAUUUCAUGUAUGUUGUUUUUAUGUAUGUACCUGUACAAAAAGAUGUAAAUAUCACUUAACCUUGAGUAAUAUAAUAAUACAUGUGAAUUCUAAUUUUAGUUCCACUAAGUAUUAAUAAUUAAUGGUAACUUCGUUGAGUGUGAGAAUUCCACAAGGUUGCGUUAGAAUUCUGAAUGACAUUUUGUUUUUGCUUUAUUGGGCUUUGAUAUGUCAGACAAGAGAAUUCAACUUUUCUCCUGUGUGAAUGAAUUCAAUAGUCUGUUGAGAGAGAUGCCAGUUUUUAGGUUGCAUCCACCAUUUUUAUUUUUAGCUCCAUCUGUUGUCUUUAAUCAAGUUGCUGUUAAAACUCUGAUAAAAUACUUGGUUUGUAGCAUUGGUAUUGUCCCCACCAGCUUCCCUAAAAUGAGCGCUCCGAUUCUAAUCCCCAAAGAUGUUUGAAUUUGUCUCCAGUUGACAUCCAAAAGUCUCAUCUUCCUGGAUUUCCUUCCUCCUCUUGCCCCCUCUGCCCUUUCCCACUAUCCCAGUUCCUAGCAUCUCCCUGACCCUUGGGUUAGAGCCCAGGGAGAUGGACCACUGAAUCCAACCUGGGAAAAUGACAGGAAGUACGUGCAUUCUUCAAAGUGAGGCAUUUGCUGUUAUUGAGCAUCUAUUUUAACAUAACUCAGAUGCAGUGGUAUUAAUUUGUAUAUGAAUAUUUCAUUUAAUAAUAAUGAUUGAGACUGUCCUCUAUAUCAGAGGUAAGCAUAUACAGUACAGCCUGUUCUUUAACUCCUUUUUCCUCACCUGACUCAAUUUUCUGUUGAUUAAAUGUUAGACUGAGAAUGAAAGUAUACUUGUUAGAUUUGGCUACUUAUUGAAAGCUGCAGUUUUGGCUAGGCAUAGUGUGGCUUAUACCUGUAAUCCCAGCACACUGGAAGGCUGAGGUGGGAGGAUGGCUUGAGACCAGGAGUUUGGGACCAGCCUGGGCAACAUAGCAAGACCCCGUCUCUACAAAAAAUGAAAAAUAAAAAAAUGAAAAA